CAAGAAGCCGCAUUUGUGUCACGUAAUGUGUGUUAGUGAGUCAGAGAGAGUGCAAACCCCAGGGGGCUUCUGCCAGGGUGAGGUGACAGCCCCCGAAACCCACAGGGGGUGCAUCUGUAGCAAAGUGCCUGCUCAUGGCUGAGUCGCUGUUCCUUAGUUUACCUUUCAGCAGCGCAGUACAGGAAGCCUGUAAAACGAUGCGCUGCCAAAUAGUUCUAAAUCUUUUGCAAGCUUUUAAAUGUGGCUUUGAGUCUUUCCUAAUAUUGCCAAUUAUGUGUAUAUUAUAAGAAUCCAUGCACUGUAUGUAUUUGCAUCCUGCCGCCCGGAAAGCGUAUUUCUGCAUGUUUUGUGCAUGUAAGCACUUUCCAGGGGCGCUGGCUGUAAGGUGCGUGCGGGCAGAUUGACGCUGUCUGUCAGGACGCGGUCUUGACGGUGCCGUGAGUCGGAGCAGGUCUGGAGCUCUCAAUCGCGCCCAGUGGGAGAUGAGUGCUGGUCUCCCGGGGAUGCCUCCGCCAGCUGGCUCCUCGCCGAUGAGCCACGCCCCGGCUGUCUGUAGCGGCAGCGAUCGCACUGCGCGCGCGUGUGUGUGUGUGUGUGUGUGUGUGUGUGUGCCAGAGUACAAGAAACCAAAGGCCCAGGAUAAAUGCUUUAUCAGGAGGAUCAGAUAAUCACGAUUGUACUUUGGAUUCAUUCCCCACACCAGUAUCCAGUGGUUUAGUAUCAUGAACUCCCUGGUCAUUGUGCUGUUCCUCUCCAGCACGGCGGCCGCGAUCACGCAGGGGACGCUGCUCAUAGACAUCGCCCGCUACUGCCAGAUGGACUCUGUCGUGAGCGAUUGCUUUUACAUAAACUUUACAUAAAAGAGCACCGAGUGACAAGGUCUUCCUUCCUUUCUGUAAUAAAUGUACUGACAGAAUGCUUUUAAAAUACAGCAUGCAGGUGGGUAUGGUGGAUGAUCUGCUCCCACGUUGCGGGCGUGCUCUGUGGUGGUGUGCUGACAGGCUGAGUGUGUUGUUUCUGUUGGCAUGGAGCAGGUGGAAAGGUCAGGUUCAUAUUCGGCAUCCAAGGAUUUAAUAAGCGUGGCUGUAACAACUGUUUUGGGUGGCUGGUUAGACGGGUUGAUUUUACUUUAGUAUCUGUGUAUGGCAAACAAGGGCCGCUUGCUUAAUUCUGGGCGUUUUACGGCACCUUCGUAUUUUAACGCUACUUUGCUCUGUCACCCAUAACAGAAGGGGUUUUCGGGUCACCCAGUGCUACACGCAUGUUAAAAAUUGCGUGUUAGCCUGCUUUAUUACUCAGAGAGGUGAUUAAUUGUUUCAGCAGCUCUCGCACGCUAGACAGACUGACGGUUGGAGUUAUCAUAGUGAUCAGCUGAACUAUUGACCCCAGUACAAGCUGUUUGAAGCAUAUUAACUGUAAUUGGUGCGCCGGUUAUGUUGCUCUUUCAUGAUCCUUUGUGCCAUUCUUCCAAGAGGAUGCCCAGGAGGAAUUUGGGUUGAAGCUGGAGUACGGAGAUGUCUUUCAGCCAGCGAGGAUGGGAACGCUCCUUUCGGUCUUUCCGGGGUCUGGAACACAGAUCUUCAUCAGCGUGAACCCAGCAUCUCAUGAUCCAGAAGAUGAUAUUUACACGGGGUCCUGUAAGGGGACUUUCUAGCUACUAAAAGACCAGGGGCUUGACUUCAUAUUUUUUAAGGAAACUUGGCAUCAGGGACACAAUACUGAUGGAUAAGCUUAAAAUACUCAGGGCUCCUAUAGCCCUGAGUGAUCAGACCUAAUGACACUCACAGGACCUGCAGAUUUGUAUCCAGUAAUCGGUUAGCAAACUGCUCUGCAAAUCAUAUGUGCCGAGUAGUAUUAGCAAACAGUAAAAAACUGGAGACUGGAGUAAUAAUAACAAAUACCCACCCUACAGUGUUCAUCUUAUAAGAUCUGCCUGGAAUAGACUGCUUUUAUAGAAAAUAAAGAUAAUGAAUUUUGUAUUAUGCGA